UACGAAGGGGGCUAGCGUUGUUCGGAAUUACUGGGCGUAAAGCGUACGUAGGCGGAUUGUUAAGUGAGGGGUGGAAUCCCGAGGCUCAACCUCGGAACUGCCUUUCAUACUGGCAAUCUUGAGUCCGGGAGAGGUGAGUGGAACUCCUAGUGUAGAGGUGAAAUUCGUAGAUAUUAGGAAGAACACCAGUGGCGAAGGCGGCUCACUGGCCCGGAACUGACGCUGAGGUACGAAAGCGUGGGGAGCAAACAGG
rnacentral:rRNA from 1 species